GAUGAACGCUGGCGGCGUGCCUAAUACAUGCAAGUAGAACGCUGAAGGAGGAGCUUGCUUCUCUGGAUGAGUUGCGAACGGGUGAGUAACGCGUAGGUAACCUGCCUGGUAGCGGGGGAUAACUAUUGGAAACGAUAGCUAAUACCGCAUAAGAGCAGUUGUUGCAUGACAGCUGUUUAAAAGGUGCAAUUGCACCACUACCAGAUGGACCUGCGUUGUAUUAGCUAGUUGGUGAGGUAACGGCUCACCAAGGCGACGAUACAUAGCCGACCUGAGAGGGUGAUCGGCCACACUGGGACUGAGACACGGCCCAGACUCCUACGGGAGGCAGCAGUAGGGAAUUUUUCGGCAAGGGGGCAACCCUGACCGAGCAAC
rnacentral:rRNA from 1 species